CACUUCUCUUCCAGCAGCCAUAUUCCCGACAACAAGAACAUCUGACAGAGCUCCCCUGGGGGACUCAAGAGCAUGUUUCACUGUGCACCAUGCUGGCACGGCGGCUGGGGGAGUGGAGUUAGCUCCGAAUGUUUGUUACACCUCGCCGUAUCAUUACACACGACUAACCAGCUCGAAGAAAAGGAAAUGUCCGACCUCCUGACAAGCGUUGUCUGGUUUUCCUGAUUCAGACAUCCACGUCAGUCUGUAUCAGAUGGAAAAAGAGAAACGCUCGGCAUGAUUACCUUUUCUCUCUGUCUCUGUAUCUCACAGAACCUUUCGCUUUCCAAGACGAGACGCAACUGGAAAAGGACAGCCCUGACACGGCGAGAUGGACAGAUACUGCUGAAAGUCCAUCUAAGUCUCUGCAGCACAGAGUUGGCCGCGCACCGACGGGCCGAGGUCAGGCUGAUGCUCGCCCACAAGACUGCACGAGUGGAGAGGUCAGCGGAUGCUAUUUUGCCCAAAGAACCUCGAGAGACUUUUAUCACAACGUGCCUGGGUCCCUCUCCAGAUGUUAACGGUCUUCCUGGCUGGUGAAGAUAGGAAGGAGAAGCCAGACCAUCACGCACACAAACACACAAUUACCGUGAGAACAUCAGACCCUAGUAAUGGAAAAGAAAC
ensembl:lncRNA